GGAACUUCCGCAAGUUGCUUUUAGUUCUUUGGCCCCAGUUUCUUUCUCAGGGGAAAAUUAAAAGCCGACUAUCAAUGACUCUUGCAGACCAUGGCGAGGAUGUAAUGAGCCUGUGGACAGCCAAACAGCCAGGGUGAUGAAGAGACACCCUAAGGGAUCUCACUGUCCAUGGCUUCCCACCUGCUGGUACAGAACCCAUAGGCAACAAACACCCUUCCCCCAUGCCCCUGAACAUCAAUAUUGUUUACAACCUGCUGGUGAUGUCUUUGGAGAACCUGCAUGAAGUCCUUCUGACCCACACAAUGGAAAGAGAAAAACAACUCUGGUUGUCCUCUGGUUUCCACACACGUUCUGCAUCAUGCAUGUGCUUCCCCACAAAAGAAAUAAAUAUAAUAAUGUUUUUGGAGACAGGG
rnacentral:lncRNA from 1 species